AUAGGAGCUGACGCCUGCCCGGUGCUGGAAGGUUAAGGGGAUCUGUUAGAGCAAUCGAAGCAGUCAACUUAAGCCCCAGUAAACGGCGGCCGUAACUAUAACGGUCCUAAGGUAGCGAAAUUCCUUGUCGGGUAAGUUCCGACCCGCACGAAAGGCGUAACGAUUUGGGCACUGUCUCAACAACAGACCCGGUGAAAUUGUAAUUCCGGUGAAGAUGCCGGAUCCCGUCGCCCGCACGGCAAGACCCCAUGGAGCUUUACUGUAGCUUGACAUUGGGUCUUGGUACUACAUGUACAGGAUAGGUGGGAGGCUUUGAAACCAGGACGCCAGUUUUGGCGGAGCCAUCCUUGGGAU
rnacentral:rRNA from 1 species